UAAACAAAAUUCUCACGUUAACUGGAAUGUGAUUACGUCUUCUUUACGCUUUUAAUCGUCUUCUUCCCUGAGAUGAGAAGACAGUUUUUACAGAAACUUUAUUCACACAGAAACUUUAGAGUUGAUUCCAGAAGGGCUUUUCUGAGCAUACAAAUCCAACGUAAAUUGGUAAGAUUACUUAACUGCAUACAAGUUUUCUUAUAGCGUGCCGUAUCGUAAGAGUGGAGUGUUGAAAUACUCAUUACAAGUACGGGCACAACUUCUCUAUGGACAAGUUUAACAGCGUGCCUCGACCCAAAAUUACAGGCUUUCUCAAACCCUUUAUUACUGAUUAACUUUUGACUACUGAUUUGUUUGGCUUUAGAAUUCCUACACAAUUUGCUUUUUCUGCAUUAAUGUUAAUUUUUUCAACACUACUUUAAGUUUUUAUUCUGUAAUUUUCUCUACUAAAAGGGGAAAAAAAAAGGAAAAGAUUAGUGAAGGAAACACUUCUUACCAAAGCAUGCCAACUAAAACUACUGUCGUUAAAGGUCCAAAAAAAAAAAAUAUUUUGUGUCAUGGAAAUAUCCUUAGUUUGUUGUCAGACAAUGUUUAUAAAAUUUUCUAUAGAACUAAAAAUUCUAUAGAACUAUGCAAAGCCUUAGACAAGAAGUAUGGAUUAGAAGAAUUAAGUUUUAAGAGACAUGUAGUAGACAAAUGACUUGAUUUCAAAAUGGUAGAUGGUAAGUCUAUUUGUGAUCAAAUUCAUGAAUUUGAAAACAUUAUUUUUUAUUUCAAAACGAAGGGAUUAUUCUGGAUAAUAUUGUAUUAAUGGUCUGCGUCAUUACAAAAUUAUCCCCUUAUUGGUAAAAUUUGCAGAUUCUUAAAACAAAAACUUGAGGAUUUCUCUUAUGAUGAAUUAGUCAUUUCAUUAAGAACCGAAGAUAAACAUCUUGAAAACUUGAAAGAAGAAUAUGGUUCCAAUAGUCGGUCAAAUUUUUGUAGAGAGAGCUUAUAAACCUAUGCCUAAAAAUUUAAAGAAAAAUGACUUUAAAUGACUUUAAGGGGCUGUUUAAAAGCCCGUAAUGGAAUGGGAUGGGAAUGGGUUGAUUACAGGCCCACGUUUGGGGCCAAUAAUGGAAUGAGCAUGGAAGAGGGUUUGUAAUGGGAAAUUGUUGGAGGGAAUGGCGGAUAACAAUUUGUAAUGGAAAUGGGUUUGUAAUGGGAAAUUGUUCAAAUAAUCCCCUUUGGUUUUUCUCGGGCCUUCUCGGGCGAGAUCGGGCCCGAGAUUGUGUUUAAAACGUAAUGAAUUCAAAUUAUCCAAUCGUGUAAAAGAAUGAAAAUACCACUGUUUAAAAAAACCUUUACAUGAUCUAGCUCCUCAACUCGCCUGAGAUAUCCCUACUUUCUCUGUGAAAAUUUCCUUCUCUACAAUUAUUUACAUCCUUAAGCUUACUUAUUUUAGAGGCAUUUCCUUCUUUAAGUAUAUUUUUUCAUUUUUAAUUCGAGGUUUUCUAGGUUUUUGAAUGUAUCUAAAGUAUAUGGAUCAUUACUCCUAACCCUUUCAUAUACAAUGAAAUCUAGCUUGAUGAUUGUGUAUGUUGUAAUAUUUGUUCCUUUUUUGUGUAUGUAAUCUGUUAUUGAUGAUUUUUUGAAAUUUUCCCAUGCUAUUUCAAUUGAAUUUGUUUGAAUCUCGAUCGAGAUUCGAUAAAGUGGGUUUGAGAUCAUUUGGAUGUGUAUUGAGAUUAGGUUUAAUACCUUUGAGUGUAGGAAAUUUUGUAUACGAUCUCGAGAUAAAUGUAGCCUGAGUUCAUCCCUGAUAUUUUAUAUAGAAUGGGACCAAAACCCUAAUCUUGUGGCAUGUCGGUAUAAAUGGCCUGAGUUCUUCUUGAUUAGAGCACGAUCUCAGGCGAGUUUUCCACCGAGUUCUUCACCAAGAUUUAAGCCAGAUUCCAGAUUUAUGUGUAUUGUUUUGUUGUUAUUUUGCCUACUUGAUUGUUGAGUUGAAUGUAUGGGUUGUGGUCUGUGUGACAGAUGGCAUUGGUGACUAAAAUCCAUACUUCUGAUUAUUUUUUGGCAAAUCUAACUUGUUAUUCUCAUGUAGCGAAAACAGUCUCGAAUAUUAAGAAAAAUUUAACACCCAGGCAAUUAUAUAUGUUUAGACAACUGUUUUUGGCCAUUUUAUAGAUGUGAAGUUAGUUUUUAAUGGGCCUCUGUGUCAUUAUAUUCUUCUGCGGGAGGUACAAGAGGAUAGGAAAGACAUUAUUAUUUCAUUUACAUUAUUUCACGGUAAGUCAGUCGAAUCACAGCAGCAUUACGGCACUAGAGAAGGUCUAUCAUUUGCCCGGAACCUACCUAGUGAGAAUCCAACUACUGAGGAUCCACUGGUUGAUGAUCCAUCUACUGAGGACUCAGAUGUGGGGGACACAACUACUGAGUAAGUUGUUCGUGGUGAGGAUCCACCUAUUGAUGAUCACCCUUCUACCCACGAUGGUGAAGGUGUUAUCUCCAUAUAUAUAUUAUUAGGGGGUGAAGAUACGACUGGUCCAUGGGUACCUUUUCUGAUAGAGCUGAAAGACGAGCCAUUAGAUGAUGACAGCAAAGUGAUUUCGUUGUCUCAGUUUCCAGAUGUGGUCCAUAGGGAAAGGACCAAUAGGAAGAGGAUAGAAUCGUUGUUAGACAAUGCAGAUCCAACCCAUGUGAAGAAGAGAUUUAUUACAACAGAUAAAACCGUAUAGAAUUUUCUUAGAUGUAGCCCAGGAUUGUAUGGAGAGAUUAAGAAGGGCACUAGCCCAUUAGAGGUGGAAUACACCUAGGUUAAAGAUGAUACAGUUCUGCGAUACGUGUAAGGGAAAUAAGCAGAUACCACAUACAUUGGAAGGAUGUUGACUACAUGGUAGGUGGUUUUCAUUGGGUGCUUGUGGUGACCGACAUGGUGGUCAGGAUGAUAUUGGUAUGAGACUCUCUUAUAAUGAUGACAUCUGAUGACGAGUUGUCAAAUGAGCUGGAUAACAUGUGAACUGUGCUUCUAGCUCGACUAGAAAAAGUUGGAGUCCUUUCACCAAAGGCAAACUUGCCCGUGACACCUUGAGAGUGUAUCGAGUGAAGAAUGCACUGCAACAGUCUACAGGAAGAAUUGCGGUAUAUUCUGUGAAAUAUUUUGAAUAUGAUGUAACUAAAUACCUAUUAGAUACACUUAGGUAAGAUAACAUUCCCCUUAUUCGUCGUCAGUUGACUAUACAAUU